CACUGGGUUCUGUCAUGAUUUUUUCAAGAAUCUAAUGCAGGCAAAGCUGUGAGGAGAAUUAUUUCAUAAAACCCUUCGUUCUGUAAUAAUUUCUGCCAAGACAAUAUUUGUACAUAUUUGUUAAUUUAAUUCUGUUUUUAAUAAUUAAACAAAUAAGUUUUAUAUCUA